rnacentral:rRNA from 1 species
CUUAGUACGGCGAGUGAAGCGGCAAAAGCUCAAAUUUGAAAUCUGGUACCUUUGGUGCCCGAGUUGUAAUUUGAAGAUAGUUUUCUGGUGCUGGCCCCCGUCUAUGUUCCUUGGAACAGGACGUCACAGAGGGUGAGAAUCCCGUCUGGCGGGGUGGUCCAGUGCUUUGUAGAUUUCUAUCGACGAGUCGAGUUGUUUGGGAAUGCAGCUCUAAGUGGGUGGUAAAUUCCAUCUAAAGCUAAAUAUUGGCGAGAGACCGAUAGCGAACAAGUACAGUGAUGGAAAGAUGAAAAGAACUUUGAAAAGAGAGUGAAAAAGUACGUGAAAUUGUUGAAAGGGAAGGGUAUUAGAUCAGACUUGGUGUUUUGUGAUUAUCUUCCCUUCUUGGGUUGUGCACUCGCAUUUCACUGGGCCAGCAUCGGUUUGGGUGGCAAGAUAAUGGCUUGGGGAACGUGGCACUGUCUUCGGGCAGUGUGUUUAUAGCCCCUGCUGAUGUUGCCUGCCUAGACCGAGGACUGCGGCUUCUGCCUAGGAUGCUGGCGUAAUGAUCUAACACCGCCCGUCUUGAAACAUGGACCAAGGAGUCUAACGUCUAUGCGAGUGUUUGGGUGUAAAACCCGUACGCGUAAUGAAAGUGAACGUAGGUGAGAGCCCUUCUGGGUGCAUCAUCGACCGAUCCUGA